rnacentral:piRNA from 1 species
UAUUGCCUUGAGGGAUAGGAACUGC